rnacentral:rRNA from 1 species
GACGUAGGGGGCAAGCGUUGUCCGGAAUCAUUGGGCGUAAAGCGCGUGUAGGCGGCUCGGGUAGUCUGGUGUGAAAUCUUUCGGCUCAACCGGAAGCGGUCACUGGAUACUCUCGGGCUUGAGUCCGGAAGAGGAGAGUGGAAUUCCUGGUGUAGCGGUGGAAUGCGCAGAUAUCAGGAGGAACACCAAUGACGAAGGCAGCUCUCUGGUACGUGACUGACGCUGAGACGCGAAAGCGUGGGGAGCGAACAGG